UUGCUUGCUGUGAAUGUGAUGCUUAGUUCAAACCUGCUAUCCUAUUUAUAAGAAAUUAAGCACAAGCUAGCUCAAGUUAUGGUCUUUAAUUAAUAUUAAUUUCGACAAAUCAGUUUCCCAUCUCUUUCAUUGAUAUGAACAUGGCUGAUCUCAUUGGUGUGGCGCAAUAUUUGUUAAAUUAGCCGUUCGGGUUGAUUUCUUUGUAUAACUCAUCUGCCAAUUCUACAACUUGUAGACUUAAUUCCCUUACAAAAUUAAAAAUAAAAUAAAAUCCGAAACUAAUGUAAGAUAAAUAAAGACUUUUUAUAUCAUAAAAUAAGACUUUAUAACUUGUAUACAAGACUAUAGUGACAAGAUCAAACACAUUGAUGGGUGCGCAUUUUCCAUCAACAUCUGUUAUGUGCAUUUAAACUGAGCGUGGAGUCUUUUUUAGCAAUUAAAAGUUUUGUAUCAUGUAUUGUCUUGGUUUGAUAAGACCUACAUCUAGAUGAGUUGCUUCUGAAGACUAAUGUAAAACUUUAUGUGGAUAUUUCUUCAGGGUGAAACAUCGUUUGAGAAACGUUUUGGACCUCAUUACAAUUUUUUCAUUUAUUUUUUAACUUUUGGUUUAAAUAUUCUACAAUAAAUACAUUUGUGGCUUUAAUAACCAGUAAAACCACUUUCAAAUAUCUUAGUAUCGGCUUUCAGAACAAAGGGGUUUGGUAGUACAGGUGGAGCCAUGUUGUAUAGUGUAGCUGGGAUUGGGAUGAUCUCUCUCUCUUUUUCUUUUCUUUUUUUCCUUUAAUUUGCUUGCUUUGAAUGUGAUGCUCAGUUCAAACCUACUAUCCUAUUUCUAAGAAAUUAAGCACAAGCUAUCUCAAGUUAUGGUCUUUAAUUAAUAUUAAUUUCCUCAAUCAGUUUCCCAUAUCUUUCAUUGAUACGAACAUGGCUGAUCUCAUUGGUGUGACGCAAGAUUUGUUAAAAUAGCUGAUCGGAUUGAUUUUUUCUUUGUAUAACUCUUCUGCCAAUUCUGAAAUUGUACAUAUAAUUCCCAUUAUAAAAUAAAUAAAUAAAAUCCAAAACUCAUAUAAAAUAAAUAGAGACUUUUUAUAGCAUAUAAAAUAAGACUUUGUAACUUGUACAUAGUUACAAGAUUGAACACAUUGAUGGGUUUUAUAUUUGGGGCUCACUACAACUUUUUUUCACUUAAUUUUAGGUUUUGGCUUAAAUAUACCAUUCAAACUAAAUGUGUGGCUCAUUAAUUGGUAGAAACCUUUCCAAAUGCUUUUUAAAUGUUCUCUUAAUGCUAACGGAGAAUAUUUUGAGAAGACAAAAUAUUUGCAUUUCUCACGAAAAUAUGGGUGCUCAUUAAUUUUAGUUGGUUUUGCAAUUUUGUAUAAAAUCAUCAUUAAAUAUAGUAGUUUUCAUCUUUGGCUCACCGCUAUAUUUCUAAAAGUAGUGUAAGACUUUCAGCCUUUGUUCACUAGUGAGGAUCUUAUCAAGAUAGAGCAGCCAUAAGAAACUCUUAACUUUGGAGGAAUAUGAAGUUUCCAAAUGA
rnacentral:lncRNA from 1 species